AGAGGUUCAGAUACUCCAUUGAAAUGCAUCUUCCAAUCGAACUUGGUAUCACUCCGAAGAAUUUAUUCGCUGACAAGUCAAUUGCCAGCACAGAUGCCAGAUUUCCAAUACUAGCAGGUAGUUCUCCUUGAAGAUUGUUGUUCGAAAGGUUGAGUGAAAGAGCUAGGUUUGAGAAAUGACCAAUUUCUGUGGGAAGAGACCCUUGUAAGUUGUUAAAAGACAAGUCAAGAAGCAUUAGAAGAGAACAUUGGGUGAGUUGGAUGGGAAUUUUCCCUGUGAGGUGGUUGUGAGACAAGUAAAGAUAUCUCAACUGUGACAGGUUACCAAGAGAAGAUGGGAUUGUCCCACUAAUCAAAUUAUCACUAAGUUCCAGUAAACCAAGGUUAGCCAUCUGCCCAAGUUCAUCUGGAAUUGGCCCAAGAAGUUUGUUUCUUCCCAAGUGUAAUCUCUGCAACUGCCUAAGCUUCCCAAUUGUUGCAGGAACUCCAUUCAAAAAAUUAUACCACAGGUCUAGAGUCACAAGGCCGCUUAGAUUUCCAAUUUCAGCUGGUAGGUCUCCUGUUAAUUUGUUGUUUCGAAGAUUCAAGUAGUAGAGGUCUUUGGAAAGACUGCCAAUUGAAGCCGGUAAACUUCCUGCAAACAGACAUGCCCCUAAGUGCAGUUUCUGUAGACGUGAACAAUUAGUGAGAGGAGUUAGAAAACUGAGGGAAGAGUUGUUGGAACCGCUCACCAGGUUAUUGCUAUGAAGGUAAAGUCUCUCAAGUUUCUUCAACUUCCCCAACUCAGGAGGGACUUCCCCCUCUAACUGGUUGAGGCUAAGAUCAAGCAGUGUCAGCUGAGAAAGAUUGGACAGGGUCACUGGAAUUUUCCCAGAAAGUUGGUUUUGUUGGAAGUACAAUCUCUGCAAGUUAUGGAGCUUUGACCCCAAUUCUAAAGGGAUUGUUCCCGUUAACCGAUUCUCAAACAGUGUAAUGUGACGCAGGGCAGUGCAAUUACUGAUGGAUGCAGGUAUGCUUUCUUCCAAAAAGUUCAUGUGGAGGUACAAUAUCUCCAGCUUUGUUAAUGCUCCUAGCUCCUCUGGAAUCCUUCCUGUGAAGUAAUUAACCUGCAAUUCUAAAUCUUUCAGCUUGGUUAGAUUCGAAAGAAACGAUGGUAUAGCUCCAGUGAGGCUGUUCUGAGAGAGACAUAGGUAUGUCAAGUUUGUCAUUUGGCCCAGUACAGCAGGAAUGCUUCCAGUCAGAUUGGUAUAGUCCAAGUCUAUUGUCUCCAGGCUCCAGCAGCCUUUUAUUGAGGCUGGAAUAUUGCCCCCAAGCUUAUUACGACUCAUGUUUAUGAAUGUUAACUCAGAAAGCUCUCCAAUGGUAGCUGGAAUCCCUCCGUACAAGCUGUUGGCUUGCAAAGAGAGGGUGGUGAGAUGGGAUAGAUUGGAUAUGUAUGGUGAGAUAACUCCCUCUAAGCGCAUGUUUAUGAGCUCAAUGGCUAUGACCCGGUUCUUAAGCUGCUGGUGGCAUGUAAUCCCUGUCCAGUUGCAGAAGAACAUGGUUUCAUUCCAAUCUUGGAGAUGACCAUCUGGAUCACCUGUUAUGCCUUGUUUGAAUUUGAGCAGAGAUUGACAAUCAGUGGAGUUUUUGCAGAGGAAUGUGGAAGUUGAUAGUAGAGCAAGAAAACUAAGAGAGAAAAAUACUGCCACAGCAACGGGAUUGUUCUGAUUGUAUGCCAUUCUCUCUCUCUCUCUCUCUCACUGUGUGUGUGUACAACUUUUGGAAGAAGAUGUUAGAUUUUAGGCCAGGAUUUUUUUCUCACUUGUUAGGUAGUAGUUUAAAUAGAUGGGCUCAGUUGUUCAAAUGGUUCAGACAACUUGGCCUAGUGAGGGGCAGGUGGUGAGCCCUCAUUUAUCACUGGGACCAUAGAUUAGGUAUAGCCAUCACCUGUCUGGGCCCCCCAGUCUCUUAACUACAUUCAAUCCCUUCAAUGCUGUUUGACAUUUUCUUCCAUGACAGAAUUAAUAGCUAUGGAGUUUCCCAAAAUUUGCUCCAAACCCAUUCUCAUGUUUAUUUUAUUUAUUAUUAUUUUCAUAUUUUAUAUUUUGUAUUUAUUUAUUUUUCUUUAUUAUUAUUAGUUAUUAUUUAUUUUAUUUUUUACUUUCCCCCUUUUUUUUAUUUUAAUUUUAUUUUGUUGGUCGAACAUAGAUUUGUAACGCAUGGGAGGAGGGUUGAAUUUCAUGAAAAAAAAAUAAGGGUCGAAAAGAUGAUAAAUGGGAGAAGCUUAUUGUGGGUUUGAUUGGGUACAAAUUCUUUUGUAUAUAUCUAUAUAAUUGAAUAUUUAAUUUAGGAAAAUCCAAAAAAUUGUUUCAAUGAAAUUCAAAAAAUUGUUUUUAAGAACAAUUGCCUGAAAAAUUAUUUAUUUAAUAAAAAUUGUUUUUUCGAUUAAAUUGUCCCAAAAGUUAAUUUUUAAUAAUAUUAUCUUAAAAAGUGAAAAUUUAAAUUAAACUCUAUUUCCUUAAUUAAAAUGGGAUAAAAAGUAAUUUUUGUAAAUUAAUGUCUUAAAUAAUCUUUUCAUAAUAAUAGAAUGAGAAUCUUUUUUGCAAAUUGAAGUUAUAGAAAUCAUAUUCUUUUUGUCAAAUUGAAAUACUUUUGUAAAUAAAGUUAAAAAAUUUAUUAUUUUUCUAGUAAAAGUAAGUAAAAAUCAUUUUUAUUGUCAAAUUAGAAUUUUUUAAAUAAAUUCUAUGCAAAUAAAAUUGAAUCUAAUCAUUUAUUUUUGUAAAUAAAUAAAUUAAAAUAUUAAAAAAGUAAUAUUUAAAAUAUAUUUUUUAAUCAAUUUAAUAAAUCAAUUUGUAUAAUUCUAAUGUCAUUUAUUUUUUUUAUUUUUUAAAUUUAAUUUUAUAAUUAUUUUCUUAUAUAUUAAUUUGUGUCUUUAAUCUUUAUAUUCAUGAUUAAUCAAUUAACUAUCAUAAUUCCUUUUAUUUGUUUAGUAAAGAUUGUUAGUAUACAUGCUUAGAGGGAUAUUACGACUUAUUAUGGUACAUUCACGAUAAGCAACUUAAACCUUAAAUCUAGACUUGAUUUUACAAAAAUGUCUUUUCUAAAUAAGGAGUUAUACAAAGUUUUCUUUCUUAUUUUGUUUUUUCUUUUAAAAAAUAAACUAAAAUAUGUGGCAACCCUAAUCUAUUCAAAAAAUCAAAUUUUCACAAUAAAAUUGAGUCUCAUUGUCGGGGAGACACACCAAAAAAUAAGGGUCGAUAGACAUCCAAUUGAUUGGGAUCAAUGUCAAGAUGUAUGAUAAAGUUGCAUAAUUUGAAUAUAAAUCCUGCCAUUGAUUGAAUCUUGAACUACUCAAUACUGGUUGUAAUAGGUGAGGUGAGUUGCUAAGGUUUGGGUCGAAAAGCUCAGCCAUGGAAAGUUACUAGUCAUCUAAAUAUGUAUAUAAAUCAAAGUGCACACAAUUGAUUUUCUUUUUCUCUUUUAAAUCUAAGAAAUCAACCUCCUUAAGAAAUCAACCUCCUUAAUGUAAUUCUUAGAGCAAAUUACAUUAAGAGAGCGUUUGACAGUGAUUUUAGGAAGUAUUUUUAAUUUUUUUAAUACUUAAAAAAUAAAAAUUUUCAAGUAUUAAAAAGGUUAGAAACACUUCCUAAAAUCAAUGCCAAACACACUCUUAACGUAAUUUGCUUUAUCUACCACUUGAUGUGGAUGUUAAGAUUGAUUUCCUUUGCCAUUGCCUAUAAUCCUUAUCCAUAAUAGCAAGAAGACAUACAUUGAAACAUGAAUACCCUUCCAUUAUGUUUGGUUUCAAAAAACACUAAGAAAAGAAAAUAUUAUGAAAAAUAUUUUUCUUAUAUUUAGUUUUAUUAUGAAAAAUGAGAAAAUAAAAUAAAAUGUAAUUAUAAUUAAUUAAAAAUAAUGUAUUUUAAAAUUAUUUAAUAUUUAUAUAAUAAAGGAGAAUAAAUUAAACGAGUUUGAAAAAGUAUAUAAAAAUAAUUUAUUAAUUAUAACUUGUAUGUGAUUAUUUUAUACUUUAAUUUCAUUUUUCUUUUAUUCUCUUUUAUGUACCUUGAUUUUAUAUAUUUGUAUCUUUAUUCAAUGUUUAGAUUUCAUAUAUUUAUAUAUUUAACUGACAUUGCAAGAUCUGUAUUGAUUGAGAUUAGGGAUGGCAACGCACUAUGCUUGAGAUAGGUUACUCAUAUCUCAAUCCAUUAUAUUUAUUCGUAUAUGUUAUCAUCCCUACAAAAAAAAAAAAGAAGGAAAUUAAAUGGGAUGAGUCAUGUAUAAGAAAUUCUUAUACCUGCCUCAUACUAUCCCAUUUAUUUCUUUUUUCAAUUGCUUUUCAAUUUUUAUUUUUAAAAUUUUAAGAAAAUUAAUAUUUUAAAUAUGUUAAAAAAAUUGAAAAUUGAAAAACGAAAUCAAUUAAAAUAAAUUUUUAUUUAACAUUAUACAUAAUUAGGGUGAGGUAGGAUGAGACAAACUCAUACCCAAAAUCACCCCGAAUCAAUCUCAGGUUUUAAAAAAGUUCUCAGAUUCAAGAUGAGACAAAAUCAUAUCCAAAACUACCUCAAAUCCAUCCUAGAUUUUAAAAAUUUUCUCAAAUUUAUCUAAACUCAUUUAUUAUUAUCUCAAAACGAGCCCAUUAAGGUUAAGACGAGUGCAAAAAAAAUUGGUAUAUUGUCAUCCCUAAUCAAGAUCCUAAAUUUUUUCUUUAUGAUAGUGAAAACAACAAUCAUAGCCGUCAUCUCUCUUUCAGUUUACUUGUAAGUUUGAUUGAAUACACUUUAUGUGAUUUUUUAAAAUACUAAAAGUAAGAGGGUGUUUGUUUUUUAAUUUGCUUUUUGCUUAAGUCAAAUUGUUUUCAAAAUUUAGGUUGUUUGUUUUUCUACUUUUUCAUAACUUAUUAUUGAAUAGAAAAAACUAAAAUAUUUAAUUUUUUUUAAAUAGAAAAAAUAAUAUAUUGAUUUUUCUUUAUUUUUUUAAUACUUAAUAGAAAUAAAAUACUACAAAAACAAACAAUCUAAUAUUUAAUACUAUUAAACAUUAAGUUUCUAUUUAAAAUUAAGCAAAAAACAAACAUCAAUGACUUUUUUUUUUUUUACUUUUUAGUACUUAAUAAAAAUAAAAUAUUAAAAAAAACAAAAAUUUUGAUAUUUAAUACUUUUAAACACUAUUUAAAUUUUAAGUUUUAUUUAAAAUUAAGUUAAAAAAAAGGAACACUCCUUCGUCUGAAAUUUUUAGGUCAAAGCUUAGUCUGACCCUCAUCUAAACCCGAGCCAAACUUCAACCAAAAAGACGUGCGUCUAGCGCAGUUACAUGUGUAGCAUCCAAACGCUAGACUGGGUGGGUUUUAUCAAACCCGACCAAUUCAUCCCCUUUGCCUUAAGUUGACCACCCGGUUCGGACCAGCCUUGACAUGAACUGCAAGGUCCAAUGGAUUGGGUUGAUUUGGGGUCUUGGGUUUUUUUUUUUUUUUUUUUUUUAUAGACCAGAGUGGUGAGUUAGUCUUUGCAUAAACUCACCAAGUCUUCAAUGGGUAGUUUUUUCUUCUUUCUUUUUUUGGCUUUCGAGGACAAGCGGUUACACCAAUACAUGUUGAUUUACGUAGGAUUAGUCAGUAUACAGAUCUUAACCAGACUAUAAAGAAAUGUACAAUCAGGUGGAGGCAGGUCCAAUUUAAUAUCAAUCUGCAUGAUCCAUACGUUUACAUAUAUAGUAGAGUUUUCUGCUCUUUUAUUAUCGGUACCCAAGCACUGAAAAAUCUGUAAAAGUAGUGUCAUUAAAAUAUGUUUAUUAGGUCAUUGGAUUAGGCAUGCGGACGUGGGCGUUGAGUAUGCUUUUACUUGCGAGUGUCUUGCUACCUUAGACACGAAACCCUCCUCUUCCACUCAUUUUGUUGCGGAAGGAGGCCAGGCCAUUCUUAUUCAAACAAAUUAGCUGGGAACUUUGAAAUCUUAAACCGUUGUAGAUAUGUGAUAAACUAGUACACCUUGUAUGAGAUAAUCUAAUCCUGAUUAUUUCUAACAUUGUCAAUUUUAAUCAGCUCCGGCCUGUAUGUUGUUGGACCAGUUUUACACAAACACGUAGUUCACAUGGAAGUGGGUCCUGAGGUCAGUACCUGUUACAUCUCCAACCACAAAAGAAUUAACUAAAAAUCAAAUGUGCAAUACGAGUACAAUCAGUAAUGGGGCAGCGCACUGACUUUGAAUUAUAUGGUUUAACCAUUAAACACUUUGAAUUUCUUCAUCACGUAAUCCAAAAGUCUACCUCCUCCUCCUCCUCCUCCUCCUCCUCCUCCUCUCUCUCUCUCUCUCUCUCUCUCUCUCUCUCUCCAUGGAGUCUCCCAGCACCAUCAGACUUGCCACUUCUCUCUGCUGUAUUUGCGUGCUUUUAUCUUUUACUGCCACGGUGAUCAACCCUGUUGUUGCUUUGGAAAAUUGCAAAUUUCCAGCAAUCUUUAACUUUGCAGACUCCAAUUCAGACACAGGCGGAUAUGCUGCUGCCUUCUCUCAACCUCCCUGGCCUUAUGGGAGGACCUUUUUUCGCAUGCCAGCAGGCAGAUUCUCAGAUGGUCGCCUCAUGAUUGAUUUCAUUGGUACGAUUUACCUUCUCUUUAAACCUAUUUUCUGCAUAUCUACCUCUCCUUGGCCAAGAGCCAGUGUUUAUAAAAUCGGUACAGGGGACAAGAAAAGCCAAAUUCAGACAUUCAUUUUUAAUUUCAUUUUCCAUCAAAAUUAGAAAAAGGCCUAGCAAAUGUACUGUUUUAGUCUAGGCCUAACAAAAACUUGGCAGCAUUAUUGAUUUGGGCAAAAUUUACAUGGUUUCAGCCAACAGUUUUGGUCUACCAUUUCUUAGUGCUUAUCUUAAUUCUCUGGGGUCCAAUUACACAAAUGGUGCAAACUUUGCCACGGCUGCUGCUACAAUCCGAUUACCGACUAGAAUAAUACCUGCAGGUGGGUUCAGUCCAUUCUACCUGGGCUUGCAAUACGAUCAGUUUGUGCAAUUCAAGUCCAGAACACUAAAGAUAAGGAAACGAGGUGAUAAUUUAACAUUAAUAGACGUUUUGUAGUGCAUAGCAAUAUAAAUGAUAUUUUUCUAAGUGGCUUUUAAUGAUUUUUAGGUGGGGUGUACAAGGACUUAAUGCCCAAGGAAGAGUAUUUUCCCAAAGCUCUAUACACGUUGGACAUCGGUCAGAAUGAUCUUGGUGAAGGGUUCUUUGCUAACAUGUCUAUCCAGGAAGUCAAUGCAACCGUCCCUGAUAUAAUCAAUGGUUUCUCCACCAAUGUUAGGGUAAUCCUUAGAUUAGGGACUUCGAUUUAAUGUAUAUUUUGAAGCAUUUCCUUUCUGGGUCUCGUUUUUUCAUAGCUUUUUUCUCUCUGUUACAACUUAUUGCAUGGUACUGAGACUAUGUACAUGAAUGAAUCACAUGAUGAUGCAGCGUAUUUACAAGUCGGGAGCAAGAUCAUUCUGGAUUCACAACACAGGACCCAUCGGCUGCCUCCCCUAUAUCUUGGCCAAUUUUCAGGCAGCUCAAAGGGACAGUGCCGGUUGUUCAAAGCCUCACAAUGAAGUGGCUCAGUACUUCAACUACAAGUUGAAGGAGGCUGUUUCCCAACUCCGGAAGGACUUUCCUUUAGCUGCAAUUACAUAUGUCGAUGUCUACUCUGUCAAGUAUUCCCUCUUUAGCCAACCCAAGAAAUAUGGUAAGCCAUAUGAUGAUAUAUAUAUAGGAAAAUAGUUGCUCGUGUCAUCUAACUUUACCUCAUUUAUGCACCAUGUUGUUAAGAAAUUAUGCUUUUCUCAUAAUCUGCAGGGUUUGAGCUUCCACUUGUGGCUUGCUGUGGCUAUGGAGGUGAGUACAACUACGGCAAUGAUGCUGGCUGUGGUAGUACCAUCACUGUUAAUGGUAGCCAAAUUUUUGUGGGAUCAUGUGAGCGCCCUUCACUUCGAGUGAAUUGGGAUGGAAUUCACUACACUGAGGCAGCUAACAAAUUUGUUUUUGAUCAAAUCUCCAGUGGAGCAUUUUCAGAUCCGCCUCUGCCCUUAAGAAUGGCAUGUCAUAGGAACACUUCAUAUUGAUUUUUGUCUACUUGGAAGGCAGACCAACAUGCACUUCUGUUGGUAUUAUCAUUAAUGUAUGCUCCUGGUUCUGGGUAAUAAGCAUCAUGCAUUGAUCAAAGGGUAGCCUAAAAUGUACCUUUCUUGUAUGUAAUAAGCAUCUAACUCAACAGAGUUAGUGUACUCAUGCUCUCUGAUAUAUUUGGCAAAGCCCAUGUCCUUUAUUGCAGAACCUGCACUUUAUUUGUUGACUACGCUGCACAAGGGAAAUAAUUUUGCAGAGAAAAUGACAGCAUUAAGAAUUAAACAAAAGAUAAGUAUAAAAGUAAUAACCACACACGUUAACAUCAUAAUAUCUAAACACACCCAUCAGGCCACACCAUUGGACAUCUAAACACACCCAUGAUGUCCGAAAUUUGAACCGAAUCAUUUUCACAUAUUCAGCAUCAAAAUUGCACAAUGACUUGAAUGUCAAACGAUAAAUUUCCUAGGAUGAGAAGUUGUUUUAAUAAAUUUCCUAUAAACGAUAGGAAGUCCAGCGUGGCUUGGCAUUAUUUUAAGACCAAAUAUGGCCACCUGGUGUGCUAAGAAGCAUUUGUAGUAGAAUUUCCAAAUCCGUCUGGUGGAGUUGAGUAUGUAAGUGCUGAAAUUAUUAAUGUGGUUGCAGUCAUCGUGAAAAGAAUUAAUGUCAUGACCCAAUAGACCUUUAUAAGAAGUUGGAUUUAGAGGUUUGUUCACAGUGGAUGUCAUGAGAUUUCUGGGCUUUCAUUUCCAUUCUUUCCUCACUAUUUCAUGACACUGAUGCUUCUCCCACCAUUCAUAUGGUUUUACUCGGACGUCUUAAUUAGUUUUUUCGAUCUCAGUUGAUGGGGGUUAUAAUGGGAGAAUUUAGAGAAGCAAAUUAAUGGCAUCUUUCCAUUACAGGAUUAUAUGAGGUUGUUGGCCAUGGUUCAAAGUCAUGGUAUCGGUCACCAACUCGGUAAGUCCCGAGGCACAUCGGUCUCGACAUCUUGGAUCGAUAUCGGGUGAUACGCAAAAAAUUAUAGUUUAAAAACUCAAAACAAUUUAAAAAGAUUACAAAAAUAAAUACAAAUAAAUAAAGUUAAAAAUUAAUAAAAUAAACUUUUAUUAUAUAUAAAAUUAUUCAAAUUAUGAUAAAAACAUACCUUCAUAAUGAUUUAUAAAAAUAUAAAAAAAUUAAUUUAAGCACUUAAUAUUAAAUAUGCAUCAUUAAAGAUGAAAAUAAUAAAAAGUGAAUUUGUUGUUUAUAAUUUUUUAAAAAUUAAAUAUUUUGAAUUUUUUAAAAAUAUUUUCAAUCUUAAAAAAAAUACAUCUAGGAAUCAUCUUUGAAAAAAAUAAACAUCAUUUUUCUUAUCAAAUGUAUUCUAAAUAAAACAAUUAUAAAAAUGGAGAAUUUUUAUUUGAAUGAGCAUAUUUGAAUAUAAUAUAUUUUUUCUAUACAUCUAUUCAUUUGAAUUGAAUUUUUAUAUUAAUAUUUAUUUUCUAUUUUAUUUAUGUAAACCUAAAUAUUCAUUAUUAAUUUGCCAUAAUCCUAAGCACAUCAAAUUUGCAUUAUCCAUUUAAAUACAAUUAUUCACCACAUAUUCAUUAACUACUUAUUUGUAAUCCUAUCAAAUACCCAUAAACCAUUCACCUCGCAAACACAUAUUUCCUUUUUUUUGCACAAUACCCAUUUCCCCUCUAAAACAACAGUUUGAGCUCUCUACUUCUUUGCACAAUACCUAUAUUUGAAGGUUGAAAAAAUAACCCCACAAAGAUACAAGAGGAUGGAGAUGCAAAUAUAAGGAUGAAGAUGCACAGGGUUUGAAGACUUGAAACUCUCCAUACUUCUUCACUUUCAUGGGUUUCGAUAAUCUCACUACAAGGAAAAAGGUAUAUGGUGACAUUUAUAACGAGUCACCAUAAACAUAAGGUGUCGCUACAACAUAGCGUCACCUUCUCCACUGACACCAUAGAGGGUACCAAUUGGUGACGUAUUUGAAAGUGACACCAAAGUAGAUAAAUGGUGACCCAUUCAGAAGUGACACCAUAUAUUUCUAGUGAUGAUAGGGUGUCACAUUAAAUACAUCAUCUUUAAGUUAUGAUGUCACAUUAAAUGCAUCACCUUUGAAUUAUGGUAUCACAUCAUUGUAAAUUAUUGUGGAAUAUAUGAUUGGUUUUAGUUGUUGAUUUUUGUAAUGCUUAUGAAUUAAUAAGAUUAACCUGUUUAUAUUUUGUCCAUAAAUAUAACAAUCAUAUUAUAUUUAACUCAUUUUUCUGUAAUGUUUCUGAAAUAACUCAUAAUACAUUGAUCAUCUAAUAAUAUUUGUAUAUCAAAUGGUCACAAAAGGAUAGUACGUNNNNNNNNNNNNNNNNNNNNNNNNNNNNNNNNNNNNNNNNNNNNNNNNNNNNNNNNNNNNNNNNNNNNNNNNNNNNNNNNNNNNNNNNNNNNNNNNNNNNAAAAGGUAUAUGGUGACAUUUAUAACGAGUCACCAUAAACAUAAGGUGUCGCUACAACAUAGCGUCACCUUCUCCACUGACACCAUAGAGGGUACCAAUUGGUGACGUAUUUGAAAGUGACACCAAAGUAGAUAAAUGGUGACCCAUUCAGAAGUGACACCAUAUAUUUCUAGUGAUGAUAGGGUGUCACAUUAAAUACAUCAUCUUUAAGUUAUGAUGUCACAUUAAAUGCAUCACCUUUGAAUUAUGGUAUCACAUCAUUGUAAAUUAUUGUGGAAUAUAUGAUUGGUUUUAGUUGUUGAUUUUUGUAAUGCUUAUGAAUUAAUAAGAUUAACCUGUUUAUAUUUUGUCCAUAAAUAUAACAAUCAUAUUAUAUUUAACUCAUUUUUCUGUAAUGUUUCUGAAAUAACUCAUAAUACAUUGAUCAUCUAAUAAUAUUUGUAUAUCAAAUGUUCACAAAAGGAUAGUACGUCCAACAUAUCAAACCCAUCAAAACUAAUAAAGAAGAGUGAAUACAUACCAAAACAUGAUUUAGAAAUGUUAAAGAUCCCAAGAUUCAUGUAUACCUCCAUUUCAUAAGCAUAAAACCGGCUAACCAUAAAAUGACAUAGAAGUCCCAUCUAAAAAUCUAAAUUUCUCAGUUGCAAUUAAAGUAACGUUUAUGUCCUACAACGUAUGAUAUAAGAGUUGCAUUUAAAACCCAAAAUCUUGUUGCCUUCUUCUUUCUUUUUAUUCUCCAUUUCACCCUCCCAAGAGUGUAUACCUGCAUUUCAAAAUUUAAUGAGUUUUAGAGAUUUUUAUUGAAGAAAAUAAACAUGGAUCUAUGUUAUCAUAAAUGAACAAAUCUAAGAAUUUUUUUUUUUUUUUCAAAUAGAAACAUUAUUCAAAGAAUAAGCAUUACUAUACAAUACCUAUGGAAAAAUUCAUGUAGUAGCUAAGGGACUCACCAUGAAUGGUGAUCAUGAUGCAUCAACAUGAUUCAUGAUUAGUUGUAGCACAAAAGUAGCCCAUUCUCCUCUAAUUUCAUCGAAUUCUACUUGAGAAUAUGGUUUUUUUAUUGCCAAACUGAAAUCAAAUAAGAAAAUAACAUUAAAAUGCAUAACAUUUGGAAGCCUAAAACUAUGUACAAUUCAUUAAAUAAGUAAUACCUUUGAAGCAAUAAUUGUAGGAUAAAAAAUUAUCUCUUUAAUGAAUCUCAUAACAAAGUAGCCACAUUCGAACCCUCCUUCUUGUCUUGGACACUAAUCGAUCAAUUAUAAAAUAACAUUAGUACUCACAUAUAUAAAUGGUGCAAAUGCAUAAGCUAAUGUGUAAAGAAAAAUUUUUGGAUGUCACCUGCACUAGUUGCUAAGAUGGCUCCCUCUUAGAUGUUUUCUUUGCAGAUAUUCGAAGAGCCCUAUGUAAAUAAGUUCAAUGGGUACAUUUUUAAAAUAGGUAAAUGUUAUAUGUUUUAAUAUAUAUAAAUAUAAAAAAAUGUGUUUGAGGUGAAUGUAUUUUUUUUUAUUUAAAAAUAAUACUAUGAAAAAUAAUAGGAAGAACUUACAUGUUUACGAUAUCCUUUAAGUCCUCACAUGGUUUGUGAUGCAUAGGGUCAAGAUAGUGGACUAUCAUUUUCCUUGGCUCAAGCACUGCCUAAAUAUAAACCCUUUAAGUCCUCAUAUCUAUUUCUAUUAACAAAAUAUAAAAACUUUCCAAAACUCAACUACUUAAAUAUAAAAACAAAAUCAAAUAAAAUAUCUAGCUAAUUGGAUUUUAGAAACUAAAUAAACUAUAAAUAAACUAAAUAUAAAAAGUAAAUAAAAUAUCUAUGCCCAUGAAUUAAUUGAAGAUGAUAGAAAGACACAGAGAGAACAUAGCUAUGGUUAUGAUUUCCAUCUUAUCAUCUCCCGUCAAUACCACACAUGCCCAUUUUAAGGUUGGACACUACUUUUGCUGCUGGACUUGGAAAGGGAACUUCAAAAUUGAAAACAUAAAUAAACCUUUAUGUAAAAAAAAAAAACAUUAAAAUAUAAUUGAGCAUUAAAAUAUUUACUCUCUUUCAUCACUUUCAUUUGAAUAUUAAUAAUCUCUUAUUGAGAUAGAUAUUUACAAUUUAACAAAAUAGAAAUUCCUAAUGAUAAAAAAUAUAAAAAUUUCUAUUUCUAUUAACAAAAUAUAAAAACUUUCCAAAACUCGAAUACUUAAAUAUAAAAACAAAAUCAAAUAAAAUAUUUAACUAAUUGGAUUUUAGAAACUAAAUAAACUAUAAAUAAACUAAAUAUAAAAACUAAAUAAAAUAUAUAUGCCCAUGAAUUAAUUGAAGAGGAUAGAAAGACACAGAGAGAACAUGGCUAUGGUUAUGAUUUCCAUCUUAUCAUCUCCCGUCAAUACCACACAUGCCUUCCCGGAUUGGUCCUUUUGGGGUUGGAUACUCUCAACGAAAUUCUAUAUCUCAUUCCCACUUAGAUACAAACAGAAAAAUCAUUCUCUUUUUUUAGAAAGGAUGAAGAUUAUGUGAUGGUAUAUCUUAAAAAAAUUUUGUACCUGUCAUUCUCACACAAAUACAUAUUAAAAAUCAUUCAUUUUUUUUCCUGUUUUUCACUUUUUUUUUAAGGACUUGAUCAUGUGUUUGGUUUAGAUUAAAAAAAUCAAUUAAUCUAUAGUUUUUUCUUCCAUGCUAGAAGAUUAAACCUAAAUUUUUCUUCCCUACAACUCAAGAAAACACAAUUCACAAAAACCAUAAUACAAAGAUGUUGAAACAAUUAAUAUAAUGACAUUAAUAAAAGAAAAAAAAAUGAUAGAUCCAAGAUAUUUUGGGUUACCUAGGAGUCCACAAAGUGAAGAAUGUCGGUUUUGAGCGUGUUGACUAUGGAUGGGUGAGAGAAAAGGUUGAAGAAGAUCAUGAUUUUAUAUAUAGGAUUUAUAUAUUGAGAUUUUUUGGAUUGUGGGUGAGAUAUGGAAACAAUGGGAUUUUUGUAUGGUACCCAUCAUUAUUAAUUCUAAAAGUGGGCUCAUUAAGUUAUAAUACUUAAAAAAAUUUAUUUUAUAUGAUGUCACUUCCCAAAAAAUGACACUAUAAAUAUAAAAUUAAUAUCAUCUAACUACCUCAAUUGAAGAUUUUUUAUAUGAUGUGUCACCUUUAUUAAUUAUAAACCCUAUGGUGUCAUUAUUUUAAAAGUGACACCGUAAAUAGUGACACCAUAAACUAUUUUUGUAGUAGUGUCUUCUCUCAUCCACCAUUUUCGCUUCAAUAUUACCUUUUUUUUCCAUCACCCAAAGAGCUUAGUUUGAAUAUAAUAUUAGGCUUAUCUCAAAGUUUCUUUGUGAUUUAAAAAGUUUAUUCAUGCGUCAACCAAAUAUUGGACUCAGGUAUCGAUCCAGUACGGGUCAUGAGCUCUUUAUUUAUUUGUACAACACCCAUUUUUGAAGGCUCACAACACAACCCUACAAAGAUACAAGAUGAUGAAGAUGCAAAUACAAGGAUGAAAUGCAAAGUGUUUGAAGACUCUGUACUAUUUAUAUUUCUUCACUUUCAUGGGUUUCGAUAUUCUUCUCUCAUCCACCAUUUUCGCUACAAUAUUACUAUUUUUUUCCAUUACCCAUCACUCUAAAAGCUUAGUUUGGACAUAAUCUUUAGGUUAUCUCAAAGUUUCUAUGCGAUUCAACAAGUUUAUUUCAUUAGAUAACCAAAUAUUAGACUCAGAUAUCAAUUGAUAUCGGUCAUGGCCAAGGCGGAUGUAACUCGGUCAAGUCGUACUAGUAUUGACUAAGAUUUUGAACCCCAUUUGAGCUCUCUAUUUCUUUGCACGUACAAUGCCCAUUUUUGAAGGCUCACAAAAUAGCCCUAUGAAGAUACAAGAGAAUGGGGAUGAAAAGGGUUUGAAGACUCUGAACUCUUCAUACUUUUUCACUUUCAUGGGUUUCGAUUUUUUUCUCUCAUCCACCAUUUGUACUCCAAUAUUACCAUUUUUUUCCAUCAUCUACCACCUGAAGAGCUUAGUUUGGAGAUAAUCUUGGGGUUAGCUCAAAGUUUCUUUGUGAUUUAACAAGUUUAUUCAUGAGUCAACCAAAUAUUGGACUUAGGUAUCGGUUCGACAUUGAUCAUGGCUGAGGCAGAUAUGACUCAGUCGAGUCAUACUAGUCUCAAUCAAGAUUAUGAACCCUGUUUGAGCUCUCUAUUUCUCUACACAAUACCCAUUUUUGAAGACUCACAAAAUAGCCUUAUGAAGAUACAAGAUAAUGGAGAUCCAAAUAUAGGUGUAGGUCCUUAGGCGCUACCAACUUUCCUAAAAGCAAUUGCUGUUAGGAAAGGCGCAUACCUUACCCUUAUAGUGCAUUCACCCAAGCGCCCAUGGCGAACACAAGGGGAGUUGAUGGAUGUGGCCAACCUUCCGAUCUGUCAACAAUCUUCCCCCCUAGCGACACCCCUGGGGUUUGAAUCCAUGAACUUAGCUCUGAUACCACUUGUAGGACCUCAGGUGCUACCAACUCUCCUAAAAGCAAUUGCUGUUAGAAAAGGCGCAUACCUUAACCUUAUAGUGCAUUCACCCAAGUGCCCAUGGCGAACACAAGGAGAGUUAAUGGACGCGGCCAACCCUCCGAUCUGUCAACAAUAAGGAUGAAAAUCCAAAGGGUUUGAAGACUCUGAACUUUCCAUAUUUCUACACUUUCAUGGGUUUCGAUCUUCUUCUCUCAUCCACCAUUUUCACUCCAAUAUUACCAUUUUUUUUCUAUCAACCAUCACCCAAAGAGCUUAGUUUGGACAUAAUCUUAAGGUUAUCUCAAAGUUUCUUUGUGAUUUAGCAAGUCUAUUCGCGAGUCAACCAGAUAUUAGACUUGAGUAUCGGUCUGGUACUGGUCAUGGCCGAGGCAAAUAUGACUCGGUUGAGUCAUACCAAUCUCGAUUGAGAUUUUGAACCUUGUUUGACCUCUCUAUUUCUUUAUACAAUACCCAUUUUUAAAGGCUCACAAAAUAACCCUAUGAAGAUACAAGAUGAUAAAGAUGCAAAUACAGGGAUGAAGAUGCAAAAGGUUUGAAGACUCUGAACUCUCCAUAUUUCUUUGCUUUCAUGGGUUUCAAUCUUCUUCUCUCAUCAACCAUUUUUGCUCCAAUGUCACCAUUUUUUUUCACCACCCAUCACCUGAAGAGCUUAGCUUGGACAUAAUCUUUAGGUUAUCUCAAAGUUUCUUUGUGAUUUAGCAAGUUUAUUCAUGAGUCAAUCAAAUAUUGGAUUUGGGUAUCAGUCUGAUACUGAUCAUGGUUGGGACAGAUAUGACUCGGCUGAGUCUUACCGGUUUCGACCAAGAUUUUGAACCCUGUUUGAGCUCUAUAUUUCUUUACACAAUACUAAUUUUUAUAAAAUAACCCUACGAAGAUACAAGAGGAUGGAGAUGCAAAUACAAGGAUGAAGAUGCAAAGGGUUUGAAGAGUUUGAACUCUCUAUACUUCUUCACUACCAUGGGUUUCGAUCUUUUUCUCUCAUCCACCAUUUUUCCUCCAAUAUUACCAUUUUUUUUCAUCACCCAUUACCCGAAGAGCUUAGUUUGGACAUAAUCUUAGGGUUAUCUCAAAGUUUCUUUGUGAUUUAACAAGUUUAUUCAUGAGUCAACUAAAUAUUGGACUUGGGUAUCGGUUCGAUAAUAGUCAUGGCCAAGAUUUUGAACCCCUUUUUAGCUCUCUGUUUCUCUGCACAAUACCCAUUUUUGAAGGCUCACAAAAUAACCCUACAAAGAUAUAACAUGAUAGAGAUGCAAAUACAGGGAUGAAGAUGCAAAGGGUUUGAAGACUCUGAACUCUCCAUACUUCUUCACUUUCAUAGGUUUCGAUCUUCUUCUCUCAUCUGUCAUUUCAGCUCCAAUAUUACAAUUUUUUUCCAUGACGCAUCACUCGAAGAACUUAUUUAGGACAUAAUCUUAGGGUUAUCUCAAUUUUUUUUAUUUUAUUUUUGUGAUUCAACAAGUUUAUUCAUGAGUUAACCAAAUAUUAGACUCGGGUAUUGGUCUAGUACUAGUCAUGGUCGAGGCGGAUAUUACUUGGCCGAGUCGUAUUGAUCUCGACCGAGAUUUUGAAUCCUAAUUGAGCUUUCUAUUUCUUUUCACAAUACCCAUUUUUGAAGGCUCACAAAAUAGCCCUACAAAGAUACAAUAUGAUGAAGAUGCAAAUAUAGGGAUGAAGAUGCAAAUAUAGGGACGAAGAUGCAAAGGGUUUGAAGACUUUGAGCCCUCCAUAUUUUUUCACUCUCAUGGGCUUUGAUCUUCUUCUCUCAUCCACCAUAUACGCUCCAAUAUUACCAUUUUUUCCAUCACCCAUCGACAUAAUCUUAGGGUUAUCUCAAAGUUUCUUUUUUAUUCAACAAGUUUAUUCAUGAGUCAACCAAAUAUUGGACUCGGGUAUCAGUUCGGUAUCGAUCAUGGCCGAGGUAGAUAUGACUUGGCCGAGUCGUACCAGUCUUAACCGAGAUUUUGAACCUUGAUUGAGUCGUACCAGUCGUACCAGUCUUAACCGAGAUUUUAUUUGCACAAUACCCAUUUUUUAAGGCUAACAGAAUAACCCUACGAAGAUACAAGAGGAUUGAGAUGCAAAUAUAGGAAUGAAAAUGAAAAGGGUUUGAAGACUCUAAACUCUUUAUACUUUUUCACUUUCAUGGGUUUCAAUCUUCUUCUCUCAUCCACCAUUUUUGCUCCAAUAUUACCAAUUUUUGCCAUCACCCAUCACCCAUCAUCCAUCACCCAAAAAGCUUAGUUUGGACAUAAUCUUAGAGUUAUCUCAAAGUUUCUUUUUUAUUCAACAAGUUUAUUCAUGAGUUAAUCAAAUAUUAGACUCGGGUAUUGAUCCGAUACCGAUCAUGGCUGAAGCAGAUAUGACUCAAUCAAGUCGUAUGAGUCUCAACCGAGAUUAUGAACCCUAUUUGAGCUCUUUAGUACUCUACACAAUACCCAUUUUUGAAGUCUCACUAAAUAGUCCUACGUAGAUGCAAGAUGAUGGAGAUGCAAAUAAAUGGAUGAAAAUCCAAAGGGUUUGAAGACUCUGAACUUUUUAUAUUUUUUCACUUUCAUGGGUUUUGAUAUUUUUCUCUCAUCCACCAUUUCCACUUCGAUAUUACCAUUUUUUUCCAUCACCCUAAGAGCUUAGUUUGGACAUAAUAUUAGGGUUAUCUCAAUUUUUCUUUGUGAUUCAACAAGGUUAUUCAUAACUCAACCAAUUAUUGAACUCGGGUAUCGGUCCGAUAUCGGUCAUAGCAGAGGCCGUUAUAACUCGGUCGAGUCAUACUGAUCUUGACUGAGAUUUUGAACCCUAUUUGAGCUUUCUAUUUCUCUGCACAAUACCCAUUUUUGAAGGCUCACAAAAUAGCCCUGAGAAGAUCCAAUAUGAUGAGAUGCAAAUCUUACUCCUUGAAUUUCUGGCAAUAAUUGGUUUAUUUUUUUAAUUCUGAAAUAUUUUUUAAAAUUAAAUAUUUGUUAAUGAAACAAAAACACUAACUCUUUCUUGAUUUGGAGUUUAUUUGUUGAAUGAAAAAAUUUGGAUAAUUAUGAUUCUGUGCAUAAGAGAAAUAAUGAAUCAAUCGUUGUUCAUAAAUUCAUAAAAUUGGAUUAGUAUUUGAGUUUCAAAUUAUUUUUAAAAGUGACUACAUUCAUUAAUGAAUCUAAUACACUAGGUUCCUCUUUAGGAUGAAUUUUGAACGAGGUUAAAAGCAUUUCCUAAUACUAGAAAGCAAUCUUCAAAAAAAUUGUUGAAAAUCACUUUUAAAAAUCUAAAUAAUGAUGUGAUUCUUCCAACAAUCACAUUUUUGUUAUAUUAUACAUUACCAAAACAUUCUCGGAACUUUUUUUUUUUUUUUAAAUUUAUAAUGUGCAUUUACUACAAAACAAUCUUUUUAAACAAAUAAAAAUACCAUUGAUAAUUAGGUUACGCUAGAUAAUGAUUUUAGGAAGUGUUUUUAAUCUUUCUAAUACUUGAAAAAUAACAACAGUGGUUUUAGGAAACGUUUCUAGCUUUUUUGGUGGACAAUUGCAAAUUAAAAAAUAAAUAUGUAAAUGGUACCAAUUUUUCUAAAAGCUUUAUUGCAGACUGCUUUAUUGCAGUAAUAUGCCCAAAGUCCACACCAGAAGAGUUACAACCAGACCCUCUUAUUAUACCAUGUUUGUUACAAUGAGGGAAUUGAACAUCAUGAAUCGUCAUUCAAGCAAGGAAAUCAAAGGUUGACAGCUUAUUCUGUUUCUAUAUUUCCCCACUAGAAUCGUGCUUGAAGGUAUUCAACCACCCUCUUGUCCAACUGGAAGGCCCUUGCCAGGAAAUCAGGAUUGAUGGGUGGAUUUGAUCCAAACAUUGAACUGGCUAUGGUGACUAUACCUGGAUUUUGGCUGUUAAAAGCGGCAAUGGCUACUGCAUUAGUGUGCCCAAUGUUGACUUGGAAGUGAAUGAGACUGAAAGGGAACACAAAAACAUCCCCCUUGUUCAGGACUUUGCUAACGAAGCGGUGUUCAGGGUUGGAUGUGAUAAAGCCAACAAAGAGUGUUCCCUCCAAGACAACGAGGAUCUCACUGGCACGAGGGUGAAAGUGAGGAGGGUUUUGACCAUUAGGUUCAUAAUCGAUACGAGCCACUGACACCCCAAGAGCGUUUUCUCCUGGUAAUUGAUCAACAUUUAUAAGAUUGACAAUUGAGCCCACAUAAUUUGAUGUGUUUCCUGGAAUAUUCAGCCCUUGAUACAAGAAAUCCUCGGCCACGGUCAGGUUUGGGUUCUUGCAGAACUUCCCAUUUACAAAUACUGCAUGAAGAAGGAAAAAAGAAAAGAUAUAUCAUUAGUAUCGAACCAUACUCACCAUAUCAAUAAAAAGAGAAGUACUGAAAAUAGCUAUAAGAUCAUUGGUUACUAUAGAAAUACCAGCAUUCUUGGGCUCAUCAACGGCAACACAGGUGUCUUCCAGUGGGCUUGGAUCAUAGGCAGAGGCAAGAAAGGAAGCCAAUGCCAUGAAGGCCACGGUUACCAGGAAACUAACGCUUUUCUUCAUUGUUAGAGUACUGUCUCCAACAAUCACAAUAUUUAUCUUUAGGCGGGGAUAAGAAAUUUAGCAUGGAAAAGAUGUUAAUUUAUAGACCAGAGUCGGUGAGUUAGUCUUUGCAUAAACUCACCAAGUCUUCAAUGGGAAGUUUUUUCUUCUUUCUUUUUUCACUUUCGAGGACAAGCGGUUGCACCAAUACAUGUUGAUUUACGUAGGAUUAGUCAGUAUACAGAUCUUAACCAGAAUAUAAAGCAAUGUACAAUCAGGUGGAGGCAGGUCCAAUUUAAUAUCAAUCUGUAUGAUCCAUACGUUUACAUAUAUAGUAGAGCUUUCUGCUCUUUUAGUAGUGUAUGGACAAGCAAAUAGAAGAUUACAGAGUAGGUGCCAGCUUGGACUAUACAAUGACCCACCCCUAUCAAACAUGGUUACUCCAUGAGACUUGUGUAGGUUCAGUUUAAUGAGUAUUUAUAUAGCUUAAUUCACCAUUCGAAGUGUUGAGAGAUUGGCUGAUGAGAUUGAAUAUGUAGCCAAGUUCUGAGUUUCUAGCUCAUGUGCCUUCCACUGAGUGAAAAGUCCUUGGAUAAGCUCUGGGGUUGCCUCAGUUCAAUGAAAAAUUGGGAUAAAUUCAAAGACUUUCUGCUAUAUGCUCACUAGGCUUUCCUCAGUUACAAAAGCUUUGACUAUGAUUUUUAUGCUUGCAGCCUUCCCUGUCUGAGCGGUUGGCUCAAAAGUUACUACUACAAUUAUUAUGGUUUGUGAGAGAAAGAGAUCUUAACAAACACCUUUAAACUAAGACUUUUUAAUUAGUCGUCUUUAACAAGCAAGUCUGUAUUUUCUGGUGAGAAGCAAGAAACCUUACAUUAGCAAAAUACCAAUUAAUUAGAUGAAGUCCUUCGGCUAAUCUAUGCCCUAUAAGUAAGGUAAUUAAGCAGAUCGAUACACUUUCCAAAUCUUCAAUGGAUGUCAUUUUUCAAAUUGAAAGGUUGAACCAUUCUGAGAAUUUUCAAAUUGGACAGGCCAUCUGUAAUCAGAUUGUGAUUAGUGUCAUGACCCAUUAGAUCUUUAUAAGAAGUUGGGGUUAGAGGUUUGUUCACAGUGGAUGUCAUGAGAUUUCUGGGCUUUCAUUUCCAUUCUUUCCUCACUAUUUCAUGACACUGAUGCUUCUCCCACCAUUCAUAUGGUUUGACUCGGACAUCUUAAUUAGUUUUUUCGAUCUCAGUUGAUGGGGGCCGGUUAUACUGGGAUAAUCUAGAGAAGCAAAUUAAUGGCAUCUUUCCAUUAUUGGAUUAUAUGAGGUUGUUGGCCAUGGUUCAAAGUCAUGGUAUCGGACACCAACUCGGUAAGUCUUGAGGCACAUGGGUCUCAACGUCGCAGAUCAAUAUCGGGUGAUACACAAAAAAUUAUAGUUUAAAAGCCCAAAACAAUUUAAAAAGAUUACAAAAAUAAAUACAAAUAAAUGAAGUUAAAAAUUAAUAAAAUAAACUUUUAUUAUAUAUAAAAUUAUUCAAAUUAUGAUAAAAACAUACCUUCGUAAUGAUUUAUAAAAAUAUAAAAAAAUUAAUUUAAUCACUUAAUAUUAAAUAUGCAUUAUUAAAGAUGAAAAUAAUAAAAAGUGAAUUUAUUGUUUAUAAUUUUUUUUAAAUUAAAUAUUUUAAAUUUUUAAAAAAUAUUUUCAAUAUUUUAAAAAAUACAUCUAGGAAUCAUCUUUGAAAAAAGUAAACAUCAUUUUUCUUAUCAAAUAUAUACUAAAUGAAACAAUUAUAAAAAUGGAGAAUUUUUAUUUGAAUGAGCAUAUUUGAAUAUAAUAUAUUUUUUCUAUACAUCUAUUCAUUUUAAUUGACUUUUUAUAUUAAUAUUUAUUUUCUAUUUUAUUUAUGUAAACCUAAAUAUUCAUUAUUAAUUUACCAUUAUCCUAAACCCAUCAAAUUUUCAUUAUCCAUUUAAAUACAAUUAUUCACCACAUAUUCAUUAACUACUUAUUUGUAAUCCUAUCAAAUACCCAUAAACCAUUCACCUCGCAAACACGUAUUUCCUUUUUUUGCACAAUACCCAUUUCCCCUCUAAAACAACACUUUGAGCUCUCUACUUCUUUGCACAAUACCUAUAUUUGAAGGCUAAAAAAAUAACCCCAUGAAGAUACAAGAGGAUGGAGAUGCAAAUAGAAGGAUGAAGAUGCACAAGGUUUGAAGACUCUAAACUCUCCAUACUUCUUCACUUUCAUGAGUUUUGAUUAUCUUCUCUUAUCCACCAUUUCUGCUCCAAUAUUACUAUUUUUUUUCCAUCACCCAUCACCCAUCACCCAAAGAGAUUAGUUUGAAUAUAAUAUUAGGGUUAUCUCAAAGUUUCUUUGUGAUUUAACAAGUUUAUUCAUGAGUCAACCAAAUAUUGGACUCAGGAAUCAGUCCAAUACGGUUCAUGAGCUCUUUAUUUAUUUGUACAAUACCCAUUUUUGAAGGCUCACAACACAACCCUACAAAGAUACAAGAUGAUGAAGAUGCAAAUACAAGGAUGAAAUGCAAAGGGUUUGAAGACUCUGAACUAUUUAUAUUUUUUCACUUUCAUGGGUUUCGAUCUUCUUCUCUCAUCCACCAUUUUCGCUACAAUAUUACUAUUUUUUUCCAUUACCCAUCACUCGAAAAGCUUAGUUUGGACACAAUCUUUAGGUUAUCUCAAAGUUUCCAUGCGAUUCAACAAGUUUAUUUCAUUAGAUAACCAAAUAUUGGACUCAGAUAUCAAUUCGAUACCGGUCAUGGCCAAGACGGAUGUAACUCAGUCGAGUCAAACUAGUCUUGACUAAGAUUUUGAACCCCAUUUGAGCUCUCUAUUUCUUUGCAUGUACAAUGCCCAUUUUUGAAGGCUCACAAAAUAGCCCUAUGAAGAUACAAGAGAAUGGGGAUGAAAAGGGUUUGAAGACUCUGAACUCUUCAUACUUCUUCGCUUUCAUGGGUUUCGAUCUUUUUCUCUCAUCUACCAUUUCUACUCCAAUAUUACCAUUUUUUUUCCAUCAUCUACCACCUGAAGAGCUUAGUUUGGAGAUAAUCUUGGGGUUAGCUCAAAGUUUCUUUGUGAUUUAACAAGUUUAUUCAUGAGUCAACCAAAUGUUGGACUUAGGUAUUGGUUCGACACCAAUCAUGGCUAAGGCGGAUAUGACUGAGUUGAGUCGUACAAGUCUCGAUCAAGAUUAUGAGCCCUGUUUGAGCUCUCUAUUUCUCUACACAAUACCCAUUUUUGAAGACUCACAAAAUAGCCUUAUGAAGAUACAAGAUAAUGGAAAUGCAAAUAUAGGUGUAGGACCUCAGGCGCUACCAACUCUCCUAAAAGCAAUUGCUGUUAGGAAAGACGCAUACCCUAACCUUAUAGUGCAUUCACCCAAGCGCCCAUGGAGAACACAAGGGGAGUUUAUGGAUACGACCAACCUUCCGAUCUAUCAGCAAUCUCCCAUACCACUUGUAGGACCUCAGACGCUACUAACUCUCCUAAAAGCAAUUGCUGUUAGGAAAGACGCAUACCCUAACCUUAUAGUGCAUUCACCUAAGUUCCCACGACAAACAUAAGAAGAGUUGAUGGACGCGGCCAACCCUCUGAUCUGCCAACAAUAGGGAUGAAAAUCCAAAGGGUUUGAAGACUCUGAACUUUCCAUAUUUCUACACUUUCAUGGGUUUCGAUCUUCUUCUCUCAUCCACCAUUUUCACUCCAAUAUUACCAUUUUUUUUUCUAUCAACCAUCACCCAAAGAGCUUAGUUUGGACAUAUUCUUAAGGUUAUCUCAAAGUUUCUUUGUGAUUUAGCAAGUCUAUUCAUGAGUCAACUAAAUAUUAGACUUGAGUAUCGAUCUAGUACUGGUCAUGGCCAAGGCAAAUAUGACUCGGUCGUGUCAUACCAAUCUAGAUCAAGAUUUUGAACCUUAUUUGAGCUCUCUAUUUCUUUGUACAAUACCCAUUUUUAAAGGCUCACAAAAUAACCCUAUGAAGAUACAAGAGGAUAAAGAUGCAAAUAUAGGGAUGAAGAUGCAAAAGGUUUGAAGACUCUGAACUCUCCAUAUUUCUUUGCUUUCAUGAGUUUAACUCUUCUUCUCUCAUCAACCAUUUUUGCUCCAAUGUUACCAUUUUUUUCACCAACCAUCACCCGAAGAGCUUAGCUUGGACAUAAUCUUUAGGUUAUCUCAAAGUUUCUUUGUGAUUUAGCAAGUUUGUUCAUGAGUCAACCAAAUAUUGGAUUUAGGUAUCAGUCUGAUACCGAUCAUGGUUGAGGUAGAUAUGACUCGGCUGAGUCUUACCGAUUUCGACCAAGAUUUUGAACCCUGUUUGAGCUCUGUAUUUCUUUGCACAAUACUAAUUUUUGAAGGCUUAUAAAAUAACCUUACGAAGAUACAAGAUGAUGGAAAUACAAAUACAAGGAUGAAGAUGCAAAGGGUUUGAAGAGUUUGAACUCUCCAUACUUCUUGAUUCGUUCCCAAUUGGUGUCUCAGCUGAUUCAUGUCCAGCUGGUGCUCUUUGAUUGAGAGAGUAAUCAACAAAAUUUAUAACCUAUAUCACUAUGCAUUAGGAUAGCUUUAGCUAAUAUAGCAUAGUGGCUCUAGGAUCGUUCACUGGGAAGGGUUUUCAACUCACAACUGAUACCAAUUCAAAGUUAAAUUGGUACUUUUUCAUUUCAAGGUUAGCUUAAGAAAAAAACACAAACUUUGUUUAAAUGAGGUUUUGUUUAAAGGUAACUAAAAAGAAAGUAAUGGAAAUUACUUAUGAAGAAAAACAUUCCUUGGAGGUUUAGGUUCACAGGGGAGGUUUCUUAUGCAAAAACAGAGCUCCGGUCAUUUGGUUCAUUUCCUCGCAUUAGAGAAUUAACAUAUAGUCAAUUCUCUAACCGGUGCUGCACAGAUGUAUCCUUUAAAUGGAUUUCAACUCUAAUUCCCUCUCACUGAUGCAACUUGCAAUGGCUCGUGCCUCUCACCUAGCAUUUUCCAUUCAAUGUGAUCUUUAACUUUGGACUUCUCUUCUCAAGCUCGCAAGAGAUAACUAACGGAUGUCUCCUUGGAGUCCAAAAGCUUACCAAGUGUUGGCAAUUCUAGAAAAUCCUACCUCCAAGUCACUUCCCAAAAGCCCGCAAGAGAUAAACAAGUGCAUCUCCAUGGACGGAGAUCACGUGCCUUACCAAGUGUUGGCUUAAGUGAAUUGAAGGUAUUUUAAGUUAACUAAAAACAUAUAAAUCAUUAAAGGAUCACACUUUCUCUUCAUUAAUGACUGAAACCACAAAGCUACUAAUUCUUGCACUUGGAACCUUUCCCGGCAACCUUAACUCCAAGGAACUAAAAGUCUAGCCACUCAUUCUAUGAGGAAACUUCCUCAGAGCUUGUUUGGCUAGUAAGAAAACUAACGAGAAAACAAUUAUAUGAAGGAAAAACAGAGCAAGUGCUCUAUAAAAUAUAUUUCUUUUUUCUGCCGAUUACAUAAUAUAUCUUUGUAAAGAAAAUUACAAACUAUAUAUAUGAGGUUAUUCACCCUUUGUACUUACUUAAAGACUAAGGAAUCCUAUGAUAGGUGGGUUACAAGGAGACUUUGGGAGGUGGGUUACAAGGAGACUUUGGGGAUUUAGACAACAAAUAUUUAAAGCAAAAUAUCUCAGGAUGUCGGUCGGAAAUAUCAAGAAGCUUCAGGAGAACACCGUGGCACUGUAUACUGAGAGAAAAACUCUCCUGGUAAGCGCUAUCAGAGGAUCCGGAUAAGUUUGACCGGAGAAGUUGAAACGUCCUCCUCUCCCAUCCGGCUGCGAGAUAUCCAGAUGUAAAAUGUCGGCGCACAGAAUUCCGGAUGUGAAAUGUCGACGCACGGAAUUCCUCCCCUGGUGGACUAAGCUAUGUUGCGCAAGGGGGACCGUCUGCGUGUGCAAGGUGUAGGGACCCCUCUCCCGGAUGACACGGAAUGCGCAAGGCUAUCCGGAUCAACUCCAUCCGGAUUCCCCAAGAGGACAUGUGGCGUGCUCCCCUAUUCAGACUCCCUCAGGUUGAAGCACACAGCACUCGUGAUCAUCACACCCGGACGAUAGCAUAUCCUAUCCGGAUAUGUUGUCCGGAUCAUUGACUUCCGCCGUCAUCCGAUGGUGUGUCCGGACAUCUUUUACUCCUUGCAUUCCAGAUUUGCUUAUGGAAAAGAACCUCAAAGCUUUGGUUCUUCAUAUUUCUGAGCUUUCCAUUGCUUUGCCAUGGAUUCCAAAGAACUCUCCUCAAUCACGGAUUGCUUUGGUGAUAAAAAAGCUAUCAAAACACCAAAACUUAACACAAUUUGAUUAGAAUUGAUUGCAAGGGUCCUUAAUAUGUUAAUUGGGUUAAAAUGUGAUAACUACUACUCAAAAGUGUUUAAAAGAGUUUAUUACAAGCUAUCAAAUAGCACUUUUUGAGUAGUAAUCACUUCUUCACUACCAUGGGUUUCGAUCUUCUUCUCUCAUCCACCAUUUUCCCUCCAAUAUUACCAUUUUUUUUCCAUCACCCAUUACCCGAAGAGCUUAGUUUGGACAUAAUCUUAGGGUUAUCUCAAAGUUUCUUUGUGAUUUAACAAGUUUAUUCAUGAGUCAACUAAAUAUUGGACUUGGGUAUCGGUUCGAUAAUAGUCAUGGCCUAAGAUUUUGAACCCUUUUUUAGCUCUCUAUUUCUCUGCGCAAUACCCAUUUUUGAAGGCUCACAAAAUAACCCUACAAAGAUAUAAGAUGAUAGAGAUGCAAAUACAGGGAUGAAGAUGCAAAGCGUUUGAAGACUCUGAACUCUCCAUACUUCUUCACUUUCAUAGGUUUCGAUUUUCUUCUCUCAUCCGUCAUUUUAGCUCCAAUAUUACCAUUUUUUUGCAUGACCUAUCACUCGAAGAGCUUAUUUUGGACAUAAUCUUAGGGUUAUCUCAAUUUUUUAUUUUAUUUUUGUGAUUCAACUAGUUUAUUCAUGAGUUAACCAAAUAUUAAACUCGGGUAUUGGUCUAGUACCGGUCAUGGUUGAGGCGGAUAUUACUCGGCCGAGUCGUUUUGAUCUCAACUGAGAUUUUGAACCCCAUUUAAGUUCUUUAAUUCUUUUCACAAUACCCAUUUUUGAAGGCUCACAAAAUAACCCUACGAAGAUACAAUAUGAUGAAGAUGCAAAUAUAGGGACGGAGAUGCAAAUGGUUUAAAGACUUUGAGCCCUCCAUAUUUUUUCACUCUCAUGGGCUUCGAUUUUCUUCUCUCAUCCACCAUAUACGCUCCAAUAUUACCAUUUUUUCCAUUACGCAUCACCCGAAAAGCUUAGUUUGGACAUAAUCUUAGGGUUAUCUCCAAGUUUCUUUUUUAUUCAACAGGUUUAUUCAUGAGUCAACCAAAUAUUGGACUUGGGUAUUAGUUCGGUAUUGGUCAUGGCCGAGGUGGAUAUGACUUGGCCGAGUCGUACCGGUCUUAAUUGAGAUUUUGAACCCUAACUGAACUCUCCAUUUAUUUGCACAAUACCCAUUUUUUUAAGGCUAACAGAAUAAGCCUACGAAGAUACAAGAGGAUUGAGAUGCAAAUAUAGGAAUGAAGAUGAAAAGGGUUUGAAGACUCUUAACUCUUUAUACUUUUUCACUUUCAUGGGUUUCAAUCUUCUUCUCUCAUCCACCAUUUUUGCUCCAAUAUUACCAUUUUUUUCCAUUACCCAUCACCCAAAAAGCUUAGUUUGGACAUAAUCUUAGAGUUAUCUCAAAGUUUCUUUUUUAUUGAACAAGUUUAUUCAUGAGUUAACCAAAUAUUGGACUCGGGUAUCGAUCCAAUACCGAUCAUGGCUGAAGCGGAUAUGACUCGAUCAAGUCGUACGAGUCUCAAUCGAGAUUAUGAACCCUAUGUGAGCUCUUUAGUACUCUACACAAUACCCAUUUUUGAAGUCUCACAAAAUAGUCCUACAAAGAUGCAAGAGGAUAGAGAUGCAAAUAAAUGGAUGGAAAUCCAAAGGGUUUGAAGACUCUGAACUCUCCAUAUUUCUUCACUUUCAUGGGUUUCGAUAUUUUUCUCUUAUCCACCAUUUCCACUUCGAUAUUACUAUUUUUUUCCAUCACCCAUCACCCUAAGAGCUUAGUUUGGACAUAAUAUUAGGGUUAUCUCAAAUUUUCUUUGUGAUUCAACAAGUUUAUUCAUAACUCAACCAAAUAUUGAACUCGAGUAUCGGUCCGAUAUCGGUCAUGGUGGAGGUAGAUAUGAGAACAACCAAAUAUUCAAUUUUUUUUUAAAUUUAUAAUGUGCAUUUACUACAAAGCAAUCUUUAAAAUAAAAUAAAACUACCAUUGAUAAUUAGGUUACACUUGACAGCAAUUUUAGGAAGUGUUUUUAAUCUUUCUAAUACUUGAAAAAUAACAAUAGUGGUUUUAAGAAACGUUUCUAACUUUUUUAAUGGACAAUUGCAAAUUAGGAAAUAAAUAUGUAAAUGGGUACCAAUUUUUCUAAAAGCUUUUAAACUUUUUUCUAUUUUGGGUUAUAAUGUGUAUCAUGUUAUUAACAAUAUUUUUGCUUUUAUUUCAUGUCAAAUAAUAUAAUUUUUAACUUUAGAAGAGUCACAAACAAUAUUUGUGUUUACCCUAAAAUGCUUUUUCCUCGUAUGCAUUUCAGGGUGUAGGGAUUCUCAUGGAAAAUACUUCCCAUGGCUGGCAUGGGAGUUGAAGAAUUGUUGCAUGUGCAGCCAAAGGUAAAAGAGGGAUUCAUGUGUUACCUGAAUUGCAUUUUAUCUGAUUUACAAUUUGAUUAUAUGUAUGUUUGUGCAGUCUGGUGCUUGUGUUGCUCAUUUCUAUAUGUGCUAAAUGGAGGAUUUCUUUUUCAUCCAAAACCCUAGUAUUGCAGGAGAUAGUUGCUUUAUGGGUCAGUCUUCUUACCAAAUCUUAACUCUAUGCUGACUUCUUUUUCUUUGAUUUCCUACUCUUUGUUCUGCAUAUGUGUUUUCAACCUAACUAUUUUCAUAGGGAUCAAUGGAAAUUAUGAUUUUUCAAAGAAUAUUGAAAGUAGAAGAAAAUUAAGCAUUUGUGAAAUAUGGAGGAGCAAAAUGAUUUCUUAGUUUUAGCACAUCAGUUUACAGAAGAUAUUGUAAUUUCACAUGAUGAAAAUGAAGAGGGGAACCCAGAUUUCCAAUGGAGGGACUUUUUGGGCUUGGGGGACUAGAAAUGCAAGAUAUAAGUGCAAAUAUUGGAGUUACCCAACCAUAAAUCUGUCCGAAAAACUCGCUUUAAGGGGAGGAUGUUCCUCAUACACAAGAUGGAUUUAGCAUGGGGAUAAUUAGAUCCUAGAUGUUUGUAAGACUCAAUUCUAUCCAGUUUGCGUCCUUUUGGGGCUCCAUCAUGUGGGUUCUUUCCCCUUUUCGGUCAUCUUAAACUGGCUCUGAUGGUUGUUCGAUUGGUAACUCCGAAAGAUCAGAAUAGCUGUAUCUGCUAAGAUAAUGGAUGAAAUGAUAUGCUAACUUGGCAACUCGAAAAUAAUGGCCCGUGUCUUCCUCCUAUUAGGGUAUAUUGAAUUCUAAUUCAAGAAAAUUUUGCAGUAUUCAGGGUGGAAGCAGAUCACUUAAUCUUUUGUAGUAGGGAUUUAAGAGGUUUAGGCAGAUGCUUGAAGGUUUAUUCAUACUUAUUGUGAAGCAGAUCAUCUGGAAAACUGGGGAGUUAUCAUGCUGAAGACAUUUUUCUCCUUAUUGAAGUUUUCCAAACAAACCCUUCCAUCUAGGGUGAAUUAUUGGUUUCAUUUGGCUGAGUAGGAGAUUUCAGAUAGAAGCCAUCAAUCCUGGUCCUCAAGGGUGGAGUGGUAUGAUUACCAUCUAUGUAAAGACUUUGAAAUUUUUUUGUCAUUAACAAGCAUUUGUUGAUAAAUUUGCUUACCAUCUUCCACAAAUGAAAUUAUGGUUUUGAGUGUAUAAUUAUAACUGCUUAUGAUGAAAGGGAAAAACACCGACAAAGGACUCACUGGUUUUUUCUGCACAAAUGGGAGCAAUCUGUUAUUCUGGUUUCUUAUUACACACAAGCAAAACGAUCAUUUAUAGUUGUAAAUAGAGAGCUCUUCUUCUUACCUAGACUGAAAGUGACGGAGGUUUACUAUUUUAAGUUCAGUGACAUGUCCACAUUUUCUUCCUUUGCCUUACGAAGUGUUUCAAAUCCCAUUUCUUUCCAGACAUUCUUUAGCCUUUGAGCAACCGAAGAGAUAAGGGGACGCUUUUGGGGGUUCUCUUCUGUGCACAUCAUCCCUGCAUCGAGCAUGUGGAUACAGCAUUGCUCAAGCUUAUGUAAAGCACCACUCCCCUCUUCCAAAUAUGCUUCGUGCUUCAGUGAGAUGUCUACAAUAUCCAAAACUUGAUUUGGAAAAGCAGAACACACCCAUUUCCUUAGAUCAAGUCCAUCUGAAAACAUUUCAUUCGUUGGUCUCUUCCGUGUUAUCAUCUCUAACAUCAUCACUCCAAAACUGUAUACAUCUCCUCUUGUUGAGACAUCGAUCCCCUGCCCAUAUUCUGUGUACAAGCAAUAGGAACUAUUAGCUGAAUCACUGUACUUUUAUUUAUAUCCCUUCAAAUUAGGAUAGUCUGUUUAAAGAAAGAGACAUGGAUAGAUGCAGUUGGUUCAUAUUAACUAUCUGAAUAUCACAAGAAUGCAAGCAUCCUUCUUUUUCAUUUAGAUGUAAAUGCUUCUCAUUGGAAAAGCGAUUAGGAAACUAUCUGAAUAUCACUGUACUUAAAGAAAAGCGGGAGAAUAACCAACAAGACAUACCAUGUUGUUAAACAAAUUUAUCAUAAUGGUAUAUGAGGAAACACACAAAACCCUAUUUUUUCUUCUCGACUUCUAUCCUAUUAUUAACAGUUAGUUCUCUAGAAUAUAUGACCAUUGGGUAGGCAGUCAAAUGAAUGAAAACUAGACUAGUUUGAAGUUCAUGUGAGAUGAAAGAUUGGCAUUCAUGAUUAAAAGUAAUUAUCUAGUCUGAUAACUUAUCAUUUACUUCUCAGAUUUGAAGGUAGGUCGCUAACUUUUCCAAGAAGAUUCAAAGGGAUUAUGAAGCAUAGGAUUGAAGAUUUAUAUAAGGUAAUCAAAUGCAUACCUGGGGGGAUAUACCCGACAGAUCCUCGUAGAAAAGCAGUUGUGGUAGUAACAUGUCCUCUUGGUUUGUCACCUGAAAUGAGCUUUCCAAUACCAGAAUCUCCUACAUGAGCCACCAUAUCAUUGUCCAAAAGAACAUUUUGUGGUUUCAGGUCACAGUGUACAACUUGAACAGGACAACCCUCAUGAAGAUACUCCAAGCCAUUUGCAACAUCUAUUGCUAUUCCCAUUCUUUCCCUCAAUUUUAAUUCACUACCUCCUUCAUCUGACCCACCAGGGUAAAGAUGCUGUUCCAAGUUCCCAUUGCCUAUAUACUCGAGAACAAUAGCCUUGAAUCCUGAAUUCCAGGUCGAUCCUAUCAUUCUAACCAGAUUCCUAUGUCUAAUUUCAGACAGUAUUUGACACUCCCUUUUAAAACUUCUGUAACCCUGAACACGCUCUUCUUGCAGAACCUUAACUGCCACAACAGUUUUUCCAUCAUUGAUGAUAGCUUUAUACACCCUACCAAAACUUCCUUCCCCUAAUAGAUUAGCCUCAUCAAAACCGCCAGUAGCAAUUUCGAUUUCCCUUUCAGUUAAAGUUUGGGUUCCAUGAUGGGUUGGGGAAUACAUUAGAAUUGCAGUCUCCGCACCUGCACUCCUAUUUUUGAAGAAGAAACGACGAACAGUGAGGGCGAUCAGCACAAAGAGAAGCAGAGAACAAGUUAAUAUUGCAAACAGGUAAUAAAUCCAUUUCCUUUUCUUGUGCUUUUGUUUCAGAAUUUCACAUGGAUGGAGACCCAUAAGUUUGGUGCCACCACAGAGCCCCAUAUUCCCCAUGAAUGAGCUGCUUCCUAGAUUUUUAUACCUCCCACUAUUUGGAACCUCUCCUGUUAAUCUGUUAUACGAUAAAUUGAGAUUCUUGAUCUUCUGGCUGUCACCAAUCCAGAUUGGAACAUUUCCUGUUAAAUUAUUGAAAGCCAAGUCCAGAUAUCCUAGAUCAAUGAUUUGCUUCAGGGACUCUGGGAUUGUACCUUCAAGCAUGUUGUGAGAGAGGUUCAGAUACUCCAUUGAAAUGCAUCUUCCAAUCGAACUUGGUAUCACUCCGAAGAAUUUAUUCGCUGACAAGUCAAUUGCCAGCACAGAUGCCAGAUUUCCAAUACUAGCAGGUAGUUCUCCUUCAAGAUUGUUGUUCGAAAGGUUGAGUGAAAGAGCCAGGUUUGAGAAAUGACCAAUUUCUGUGGGAAGAGACCCUUGUAAGUUGUUAAAAGACAAAUCAAGAAGCAUUAGAAGAGAACAUUGGGUGAGUUCGAUGGGAAUUUUCCCUGUGAGGUGGUUGUGAGACAAGUAAAGAUAUCUCAACUGUGACAGAUUACCAAGAGAAGAUGGGAUUGUCCCACUAAUCAAAUUAUCACUAAGUUCCAGUAAACCAAGGUUAGCCAUCUGCCCAAGUUCAUCUGGAAUUGGCCCAAGAAGUUUGUUUCUUCCCAAGUGUAAUCUCUGCAACUGCCUAAGCUUCCCAAUUGUUGCAGGAACUCCAUUCAAAAAAUUAUACCACAGGUCUAGAGUCACAAGGCCGCUUAGAUUUCCAAUUUCAGCUGGUAGGUCUCCUGUUAAUUUGUUGUUUCGAAGAUUCAAGUAGUAGAGAUCUUUGGAAAGACUGCCAAUUGAAGCCGGUAAACUUCCUGCAAACAGACAUGCCCCUAAGUGCAGUUUCUGUAGACGUGAACAAUUAGUGAGAGGAGUUAGAAAACUGAGGGAAGAG
rnacentral:lncRNA from 1 species